rnacentral:rRNA from 1 species
GGCGACCGGCGCACGGGUGAGUAACACGUAUGCAACCUACCUUCCACAGGGGAAUAGCCCGGAGAAAUCCGGAUUAAUACCCCAUAACACAGGGAUCCCGCAUGGGAAUAUUUGUUAAAGAUUAAUCGGUAGAAGAUGGGCAUGCGUUCCAUUAGCCAGUUGGUGAGGUAACGGCUCACCAAAGCAACGAUGGAUAGGGGAACUGAGAGGUUUAUCCCCCACACUGGAACUGAGACACGGACCAGACUCCUACGGGAGGCAGCAGUGAGGAAUAUUGGUCAAUGGACGCAAGUCUGAACCAGCCAAAUCGCGUGAAGGAAGACUGCCUUAUGGGUUGUAAACUUCUUUUAUAAGGGAAUAAAAAAAGUCACGUGUGAUUUAUUGCAUGUACCUUAUGAAUAAGCAUCGGCUAACUCCGUGCCAGCAGCCGCGGUAAUACGGAGGAUGCGAGCGUUAUCCGGAUUUAUUGGGUUUAAAGGGUGCGCAGGCGGGCCCUUAAGUCAGCGGUGAAAUCUCGAGGCUCAACCUCGAAAUUGCCGUUGAAACUGGGGGCCUUGAGUAUAGAUGAAGUAGGCGGAAUUCGUUGUGUAGCGGUGAAAUGCAUAGAUAUAACGAGGAACCCCAAUUGCGUAGGCAGCUUACUAAACUAUAACUGACGCUCAAGCACGAAAGCGUGGGUAUC